rnacentral:rRNA from 1 species
ACCAGACUCCUACGGGAGGCAGCAGUGGGGGAUAUUGCACAAUGGGGGGAACCCUGAUGCAGCGACGCCGCGUGGGUGAAGGAGCGUUUCGGCGCGUAAAGCCCUAUCGGCAGGGAAGAAGAAAGACGGUACCUGACUAAGAAGCCCCGGCUAACUACAUGCCAGCAGCCGCGGUAAUACGUAGGGGGCAAGCGUUAUCCGGAUUUACUGGGUGUAAAGGGAGCGUAGACGGCAUAGCAAGUCUGAAGUGAAAGCCCGGGGCCCAACCCCGGGACUGCCCUUGGAACUGCAUGGCUGGAGUGCGGGAGGGGCAGGCGGAAUUCCUGGUGUAGCGGUGAAAUGCGUAGAUAUCAGGAGGAACACCGGUGGCGAAGGCGGCCUGCUGGACUGCGACUGACGUUGAGGCCCGAAAGCGUGGGGAGCAAACAGGAUUAGAUACCCGAGUA